rnacentral:rRNA from 1 species
UACGUAGGGGGCUAGCGUUGUCCGGAUUUAUUGGGCGUAAAGAGCGUGUAGGCGGCCAGGUAGGUCUGGUGUGAAAACUCGAGGCUUAACCUCGAGAUGUCAUCGGAAACCAUCUGGCUAGAGUCCGGAAGAGGAGAGUGGAAUUCCUGGUGUAGCGGUGAAAUGCGCAGAUAUCGUGAGGAACACCAGAGGCGAAGGCGGCUACCUGGACAAUUGCUGACGCUCAGGCACGAAAGCGUGGGAGCAAAGG